CACUAAUUAAGGCAAGGGUUCUCUGUAGACUUAGUCCCUUAUAUGUUUAUUAUAGUUGCGAUAAUUUUCGCAAAUCUUUUCAGGUCUCUAUACUCAACAUCGUUGUUAUCUACUCAAGAAACCCACAUACCCAUUUAUUCACUUCCAUAAGAUCUUUUUGACCAUUUUAUGGAUAUUAUAUGAUUAUAUCUGCCAUUAACAGAGUUAAGGAUUGUAAUUGCUCCAGUGUUCC